GCUAGGAUGAAGAUGAAAGGCGCUAUGGAAUUAAGUUCCACUUUUUGCCUUAUUGAACCACUGUGCAAUGGUAAGCUCGUUUUACAUCGUUUCAAAAUUAAUUUGAAAUCUUUCAAAAGACAGAGUGUCUGAAAACAGUGCUUCAAAACUUUUUACUCUUUUUACUUUUUAUUGUUGGUAAACCAAUGUUACAUAAUACCUAUCCGAAAUUGCUCAAUGUUUGGGUACAUCGAAGUAACUUCCACUGGGCAAAUAUAAUAAUUAAAUUAUAUAAAAUAAUUAUGUGAAUUAUCGCUUUUUGCAUUGUCAAAACAGAUACAACCACUUAUCAGUGAAAGUAAAGUAUGCGCUCACCAUAUGGCUUUUAACAAUUCUAAAUUCAUCGGUAUUUAUACACUUGUGUUAUUUGAAACAAUCGAAAUACUUAUUGUAUUUUAUGGAAGGAUAUGUACUAGGGUGGGGAAUCGAUAUAUGGAAAAAACGAAACUUGAUAGCAGAAAGCCAGAACCAAGUUUGUUUUGUUCUAUUUGGGGCCCCAAACAAUCCUAAAUUUAUCGGAAGUCGAUUGGUUUCGUCUCUGCUUGGCGCAUUGCAUUUCAAAUUUAUAUGGAGAUUUGUAUGGAAAAACCAACUUUUAUGCAUUUUCCAAUCUAAAGAGCUCAAAAUGGCUCAAAUGAAAGGUUUCAUGACUUCAAAUGGUAGGUUUUUUGAUGCCUAACAACUUGGCCGAAGACACUAAAGAGCUAGGGUGUCCCAAAAAAUACUAGAGCUGUUCAAAGUUGAGUAUGUAGAAAUUUAUGUUGCAAACCAUGUUUUCUGCUAACACUGCCGUUGUACCGGCGUCAGUCAGAUUUCCAUCAGAAGUAACCUUUGAAACACGUUGUAGAUUCUUUCUACGCCUAGAAUAUUGACCUAAAUUUGUUUUGCUAAGUGUACAAACUCGUGACGAUAGGUUACUUCUGAUGGGAAUCCUACUGACGCCGGUACAUUGGUAAUGUUGGCAGAAAACAAGAUUUUCUGCAUUUAAAUCGCCAUAUUCAACUUUGAACAGCUAUAGCUCUUUUUAGAGACAUCCUAGCUCUUCAGUGUCUUUUGCAAAGGUGUUAAGCAGGUAUUAGACGAAGCAAAUAUUUGCUAUUUUUCAAUACAGAUACAGUGCAAAUAAAAAUCGUACCAAAAAUAGCAAAUAUUUGCUUCGUCUAAUACCUGCUUUAGGCAUCUAAAAUACUAUACUUUAACAUAAUGUAGUGCAUUAUUAGAGUAUUAUUGAGCUCUCUAGAAAGGUAAAUGCAAAAAAGUUGGGUUUCCCAUACAAAUUUCCAUACAAAUUUGAAAUGCAAUGCGCCAAGCGGAGACAAAACCAAUCGACUACAUGUAAGUUUAGGGUUGUUUGGAGCCCCAAAAGAAACCAAACAAACUUGGUUCUGAAAGAUCGAUCAUUUUUCCCCACCCUAAUAUGUACCUUUAGAUAAAGCAAUAAAAAUAUUCGCAUUUUUUCGACUAAAGUAUCUUUUCUCAAAAAAUCAUAAACGUCUGAGCAGUAGAUACACUUUGACAACUAUAGCAAGCGCGUCAAGAACCAUUAACUCGAUCAGCCUGAAUUUUAGACAGGCUUGUUCAUAACAAUAAUAGCAUGCUCGGGAAUGAAGGAAUUUCAAUUUAAAGCUACAUUUUUUCCUACCGAAAAUUUUCACUUAAAUAACGAAACUUUUUAGUAAAACGGUCACCAUUUCUGAAAAAAAGCAUGCAAAACCCACCAUUCAUGUACAGCGCAAAGGUACAACUUACAGGAUUUGUUCGUUUUUUUUUGUUUUAUGUUUUGUUUUUGUGUUUCUGAUAAGAAGUUCUUUCUGUAACAUGCUCACCGCGAGAGACGUUGGAAAAAUUAUGUUUUGGUACAAUGACUGUAGUGUUUUUUUUUUUUUUUUUUUGAAAAUUUCACAUGAUAUGCGUGAAUAAAUGUGCAUUAACUUUUUUUAAAUAUUUCGUUUGUCUUCACCAACAAAAAUAUUUUUUUAUCGCGAGCACAAGUGCAUAACCUUUUAAGACGGAAGCUGCGUGGCCGCAAGGUUACAGAGUCUGCUUUGUCAGUCGAUAUCAAUAAGAAUUAACCAUGGGUUUAUUCUCAGGCUCCCCCAUCAAUUACCUUUCCUUUACUCUAAAUUCUAUUAUACCUUUGUGUGACUUUCUCUUAACGAAAAUAAUUUCCUAUCAACAAUAAAACUGACCCAAAGGGCGCACGAUUUUAGUUAAAAAGUUUUAGAAAAAUCUUGCAUUCAUUCCUAGGGUCCAAUGAAAAACAAUGAGACAGGUGAGUACGAUCAGCCAACCUACUUGUUUCGGGAAAAACAUGGGAAAUGUGGUCCCAUAAGCUUCUGUACUGGUUAGUGGAGCAAAAUGGACACAGCUUUGCUAGAUGCUUUGUGAGAUGAUAGUUUACGACAAUAAAUAUUCAAAAUUUUGAGUUGUGUCGUUAUCCGACGAUACAAUGGUCACUUCUUCACAAUGCACUUCGUUUGGAGAUAAACACUUUGGCGAUACGCUGCAGUUUCCAAGGAAUCACACGGAUUCUUGCAAAGCUGUGAAUUGACUUUCACUGUCUUCCAGCAGACUAUUUUACUACCGGAGACACCCGACUUUGCAAUGUAAGUAAACAAGAAAAUAAUUGCAAGUGAUGAAUAAAAUGUAUUUUUUUUUUGUCAUUUUGAGUAGCUUCAUGUUAAUUACGAGCGGAAUCUGUACGCGGCCGUAGUCACAGGAAGCUGAGGUCUAUACCGGGUGCGCUUGAAGCUUCCAAUGCCGAACUUGAGUGAAACAUACCAGCACGAGAACAUGAAGAAGAAACUGCUGUUGCUGGACUACUGCUGCUGUUGGGACCACUGUUGCUGCUGGGACUAUUACUACUGCUGCUGGGACUGCUGCCGAACUGUUGCCUCCAAGCAGUUUCGUGGAAACUCUAGGAACAACUAUUACAACAUGAUCCAAUGAUCAACUCGAAGGCUCAGAAAUAUUGAAACGGAUAGGUAAAAUUGCUCCAGCGGGAGAACCUUGACUGAUACGAAAAAUUCAGCGAUUGCGACAUCGAUCGGGCAAGCAAGUCUACACAAUUGGAACGCUGCGUUCAUACACAUAUCCUGUUGUUACCAGGAAAUGAUUCAAUUAAAUGAACAAACAGAAUAAAAUUCAAAUCAAUCUAUUGUACGCUCUUUUAAAUGAUAGAAUGAUCAAA